CUCGCAUCUGCUUCCUAUGUUGGGAAGAUGGGGAAACAAUUGAUCAUAUCAGUUUAAUAUCUGAUACGUGGUCCAUUGGAUCACACAGUAUUAAAUUAAUUUCUUUUGGUGAGGGUCCACCACAAUAGCUUGCUAUUGGGGCCCUUGUGCAUCGCCCUUGCAUUGCACUACUGCAUGGGCCUGGCGCACCCCUA